GGGGCUGGGCUAGUAUUUUAACUCCCAAAACCCCUGUGACAUACCACUUGUUGCCUCGGCGGAUCAGCCCGCUCCCGGUAAAACGGGACGGCCCGCCAGAGGACCCCUAAACUCUGUUUCUAUAUGUAACUUCUGAGUAAAACCAUAAAUAAAUCAAAACUUUCAACAACGGAUCUCUUGGUUCUGGCAUCGAUGAAGAACGCAGCAAAAUGCGAUAAGUAAUGUGAAUUGCAGAAUUCAGUGAAUCAUCGAAUCUUUGAACGCACAUUGCGCCCGCCAGUAUUCUGGCGGGCAUGCCUGUUCGAGCGUCAUUUCAACCCUCAAGCACAGCUUGGUGUUGGGACUCGCGUUAAUUCGCGUUCCCCAAAUUGAUUGGCGGUCACGUCGAGCUUCCAUAGCGUAGUAGUAAAACCCUCGUUACUGGUAAUCGUCGCGGCCACGCCGUUAAACCCCAACUUCUGAAUGUUGACCUCGGAUCAGGUAGGAAUACCCGCUGAACUUAAGCAUAUCAAUAAGCGGAGGAA
rnacentral:rRNA from 1 species